AAAAAAUCGUUAUAAUAGUACCAGUAAAACUAUACGUUCGAUAUAUUAACAAUGCUUAUCUGCAAUGUGAUCGAUAUCUAUGAACAAAACUGUCUCUGAACCAGUAAGAGAAGGUUCGUCAUCCUUUGUCUUUGAGAAAUAUGGAUCCAUGUUUUAGACCUUACUUAUUAACUUCAGAUGAAGAAGAAUAAAAACAACUGGUUCUCAUGGUAGUGUUAUUUUCAUCAAAUGAGAUUGCGUCAUGUGCACAAACAAAAUAUAUCAAUCUUUACAAAGCGCAAAUAGACAAAAUAUUGCUCCUAAUUGUCAUCAAGUGUCACAAUCAAUCAAGACUGGGUGAUAUGUAUUGUUGAUUAUGUUGUAUACCAAAGUAAAAUGUUUCGGCAG
rnacentral:lncRNA from 1 species